rnacentral:rRNA from 1 species
UGGGUCAAGAUUGACGCUCAUGCACGAAAGCGUGGGGAGCAAACAGGAUUAGAUACCCUGGUAGUCCACGCCCUAAACGAUGUCUACUAGUUGUCGGGUUUUAAUUAACUUGUAACGCAGCUAACGCGUGAAGUAGACCGCCUGGGGAGUACGGUCGCAAGAUUAAAACUCAAAGGAAUUGACGGGGACCCGCACAAGCGGUGGAUGAUGUGGAUUAAUUCGAUGCAACGCGAAGAACCUUACCAAGGCUUGACAUACAUGGAUGCCGUCCAUGAAAGUGGAGCCGGCUGCCUUCGGGUGAAACAUGUACAGGUGCUGCAUGGCUGUCGUCAGCUCGUGCUGUGAAGUGUCGGGUUAAGUCCCUUAACGAGCGAAACCCUUAUCGCUAGUUGCCAGCGGGUCAUGCCGGGAACUCUAAUGAGACUGCCGGUGACAAACCGGAGGAAGGUGGGGAUGACGUCAAGUCCUCAUGGCCCUUAUGGGUAGGGCUUCACACGUCAUACAAUGGUACAUACAGAGGGCCGCCAACCCGCGAGGGGGAGCUAAUCCCAGAAAGUGUAUCGUAGUCCGGAUUGUAGUCUGCAACUCGACUACAUGAAGUUGGAAUCGCUAGUAAUCGCGGAUCAGCAUGUCGCGGUGAAUACGUUCCCGGGUCUUGUACACACCGCCCGUCACACCAUGGGAGCGGGUUUUACCAGAAGUAGGUAGCUUAACCGCAAGGAGGGCGCUUACCACGGUAGGAUUCGUG